UGCGGCCGGCGCUGGGGUGGAGAGUUGUGCGCCGGUCCCUGGGCCUGAGCUCGGGCUCGGGCUCGGGCGCCUGCGAUGUCUCAAGAUGGCGGAGCUGGGCGAAUUAAAGCACAUGGUGAUGAGCUUCCGGGUGUCUGAGCUUCAGGUGCUGCUCGGCUUUGCUGGCCGGAACAAGAGUGGACGGAAGCACGAGCUCCUGGCCAAGGCCCUGCACCUCCUCAAGUCCAGCUGUGCCCCCAGUGUCCAGAUGAAGAUCAAGGAGCUUUACCGCCGGCGCUUUCCCCGGAAGACCCUGGGGCCCUCUGAUCUCUCCCUGCUCUCUCUGCCCCCUGGCACCCCUCCUGUCGGCUCCCCUGGUCCUCUGGCUCCCAUUCCCCCAGCCCUCUUGGCCCCUGGCACCCUGCUGGGCCCCAAGCGUGAAGUGGACAUGCACCCCCCUCUGCCCCAGCCCGUGCACCCUGAUGUCACCAUGAAACCAUUGCCCUUCUAUGAAGUCUAUGGGGAGCUCAUCCGGCCCACCACCCUCGCGUCCACUUCUAGCCAGCGUUUUGAAGAGGCGCACUUUACCUUUGCCCUCACACCCCAGCAAGUGCAGCAGAUUCUCACAUCCAGAGAGGUUCUACCAGGAGCCAAAUGUGACUAUACUAUACAAGUGCAGCUAAGGUUCUGUCUCUGUGAGACCAGCUGCCCCCAGGAGGAUUAUUUUCCCCCCAACCUCUUCGUCAAGGUCAAUGGGAAACUAUGCCCCCUGCCGGGUUACCUUCCCCCUACCAAGAAUGGGGCUGAGCCCAAGAGGCCUAGCCGCCCCAUCAACAUCACACCUCUAGCUCGUCUCUCGGCCACUGUUCCCAACACCAUCGUGGUCAACUGGUCAUCUGAGUUUGGACGGAACUACUCCUUGUCUGUGUACCUGGUGAGACAGUUGACUGCAGGGACCCUUCUACAAAAACUCAGAGCAAAGGGUAUCCGGAACCCAGACCACUCUCGGGCACUGAUCAAGGAGAAAUUGACCGCUGACCCGGACAGUGAGGUGGCCACUACAAGUCUCCGGGUGUCACUCAUGUGCCCGCUAGGGAAGAUGCGCCUGACAGUCCCUUGUCGUGCCCUCACCUGUGCCCACCUGCAGAGCUUCGAUGCUGCCCUUUAUCUACAGAUGAAUGAGAAGAAGCCAACAUGGACAUGUCCUGUGUGUGACAAGAAGGCUCCCUAUGAAUCUCUUAUCAUUGAUGGCUUGUUCAUGGAGAUACUUAAUUCCUGUUCGGAUUGUGAUGAGAUCCAGUUCAUGGAAGAUGGAUCCUGGUGCCCAAUGAAACCCAAGAAGGAGGCAUCUGAGGUUUGCCCCCCGCCAGGGUAUGGGCUGGAUGGCCUCCAGUACAGCCCAGUCCAAGAGGGCAAUCCAUCAGAGAAUAAGAAGAAGGUUGAAGUUAUUGACUUGACAAUAGAGAGUUCAUCGGAUGAGGAGGACCUGCCCCCGACCAAAAAGCACUGUCCUGUCACCUCAGCUGCCAUCCCGGCUCUACCUGGAAGCAAAGGAGUCCUGACAUCUGGUCACCAGCCAUCUUCGGUGCUGCGGAGCCCUGCUAUGGGCACGCUGGGCGGGGAUUUCCUGUCCAGUCUCCCGCUACAUGAGUAUCCACCUGCUUUCCCACUGGGGGCCGAUAUCCAAGGUUUAGAUUUAUUUUCUUUCCUCCAGACUGACAGUCAGGAGAGUGAUUCAGACUGGAUGAUUUCUCAACUCACAUGUCACCUUCCGCCAGCCACGGGCCGUGUACUAUAUAAGCACCCCUCUGCAGCACUCCACGCCUAUCGGCUCUAGUAGGUAUCACCUGGAAUUGAUUACGUCUCUUCGCCAGACACCCAGGAAACAUUCUUGACCCCUCCCUUGUCUUUCUUCUCACUCAGAUGGCAACUCAGUGCGGCAGAUUCUACCUCCUUAAACUUUCUCGCAUGUCUCUAGCCUCCACUGUUCCUAGUCCUAGCCUUCCUCAUAUUCUGCCUGAGAUAUCAUUGCAAGUCUCCAUAUAGUCCUUCCCCUACCAGUUCAUUCCCUAGGGUUCUUCCAGAGUGAUCUUUCUCAAACACAAAUCUCAUCAUCUUGCUUCCCACUGCUCAGGAGAAGAUAAGCUACUAAUAAGCAGAGUAUAGUGAGGACGCCCGCCCACCCUUGCUCCUGCCGGCUGUCUAGCCGCAGUGCUGGCAGGACUUAAGCCCUAUUUUCUAGUCACAUCCUAUUUGCAGUUCUUCCUGGAACCAGGCUCUGCUUCCUUCUGGGAUCCCUUUCCCCUUGCACCUGGCAAAUCCUCAUCUUUCAAAAGACAGAUUGUCACUUUCUCUGCACUCCCUUUCCUGCCUGACCCUUCUCCCUCUUGCCUCUCUGUAUAUAAUACUUUUUUGCUACAGCCCCCAAGUAUUUCCUUGUAUUUAUUUGUCUCCUCCCACUAGGCUAUGUGUGCAAGGCUUAUUCAUCUUUGUAUCCCUAAAGCCUAGCCCAGUCCUGGGCACAUUAACAGAUGCUCAGUAAAGAAUGAGAGAAUGGACAUUGGCAAGAGGAAACCGAAGAGAUUAUAACAGCACCUACCUGCUUUAAAUGAACUGAAGCUGCUGGGACAAAUUACAUCAUGCCACUGAAAGAGAAAACUUAGAAUUGCUGCUUUUAAGAAACCACGGAAAAGAGGAAGGCAAUGAUUUCUUGAGUGCUUACCAUAUGCCAGGCAUUGUGCUAAGUGGCUUACAUCCACAGUUUCAGAUGUGCUAGAAGCCUGGAGCUGGCAAAUGUCUUCUAGCCAUAGAUUCUAGUGUGAAUGCUGGGGCCAGUCCACCUGCUAGUCCUGAAAAUAGCUUUUAUUCCCCUCUGUGUGGUUGUCUUUCACAUUCCCUACACUGUGUGUGUGUGUUUGUGUGAGAGAGAGAGAGAGAUUACAACUUAACAAAAUAAAGAACAGGUAUAGCCUUUUGAGAAUACAAUCUGCUUAGGAAGAAAUUUCUUCCACUGACACGGAUAUUCAAACACAGGCCUGGCUGACUUCUUAGUGGGAAAUGAUACAUCUGAUAGAUGAUUAAUCUGGUUGAUUUAAGGUCCUUUCUUCCCCCACUGAGAUCUGAUGAGGGGAGAAUACAGUGAUGGGGAUAAGACGGGAUCAGCAAACCUUAAAAAACAUGUCAGGGCACCUGGGUGGCUCAGUCGGUUAAGCGUCUGCCUUCAGCUCAGGUCAUGAUCCCAG